UACGUAGGGUGCAAGCGUUGUCCGGAAUUAUUGGGCGUCAAGAGCUCGUAGGCGGUUUGUCGCGUCUGCUGUGAAAACCCGAGGCUCAACCUCGGGCCUGCAGUGGGUACGGGCAGACUAGAGUGCGGUAGGGGAGAUUGGAAUUCCUGGUGUAGCGGUGGAAUGCGCAGAUAUCAGGAGGAACACCAAUGGCGAAGGCAGAUCUCUGGGCCGUAACUGACGCUGAGGAGCGAAAGCAUGGGGAGCGAACAGG
rnacentral:rRNA from 1 species